CAGUCGCCGCGGGAAUACGAAGGGGGCUAGCGUUACUCGGAAUUACUGGGCGUAAAGGGCGCGUAGGCGGCACGAUUAGUCAGGCGUGAAAUUCCUGGGCUCAACCUGGGGACUGCGCUUGAUACGGUCGAGCUAGAGGAUGGAAGAGGGUCGUGGAAUUCCCAGUGUAGAGGUGAAAUUCGUAGAUAUUGGGAAGAACACCGGUGGCGAAGGCGGCGACCUGGUCCAUUACUGACGCUGAGGCGCGACAGCGUGGGGAGCAAACAGGAUUAGAUACCCCUGUAGUCCCUGUCUCUUAUAC
rnacentral:rRNA from 1 species